GCGCACGCAGGCGGUCUGUUAAGCUAGAUGUGAAAGCCCCGCGCUCAACGUGGGAGGGUCAUUUAGAACUGGCAGACUAGAGUCUUGGAGAGGGGAGUGGAAUUCCAGGUGUAGCGGUGAAAUGCGUAGAGAUCUGGAGGAACAUCAAUGGCGAAGGCAACUCCCUGGCCAAAGACUGACGCUCAUGUGCGAAAGUGUGGGUAGCGAACAGGAUUAGAUACCCUGGUAGUCCACACCGUAAACGAUGAAUGCCAGACGUCAGCAAGUAUACUUGUUGGUGUCACACCUAACGGAUUAAGCAUUCCGCCUGGGGAGUACGGUCGCAAGAUUAAAACUCAAAUGAAUUGACGGGGGCCCGCACAAGCGGUGGAGCAUGUGGUUUAAUUCGACGCAACGCGAAGAACCUUACCUGGUCUUGACAUCCUGCGAACUUUCUAGAGAUAGAUUGGUGCCUUCGGGAACGCAGUGACAGGUGCUGCAUGGCU
rnacentral:rRNA from 1 species